GAUGAACGCUGGCGGCGUGCCUAAUACAUGCAAGUCGAGCGAACAGACGAGGAGCUUGCUCCACUGACGUUAGCGGCGGACGGGUGAGUAACACGUGGAUAACCUACCUAUAAGACUGGGAUAACUUCGGGAAACCGGAGCUAAUACCGGAUAAUAUAUUGAACCGCAUGGUUCAAUAGUGAAAGACGGUUUUGCUGUCACUUAUAGAUGGAUCCGCGCCGCAUUAGCUAGUUGGUAAGGUAACGGCUUACCAAGGCAACGAUGCGUAGCCGACCUGAGAGGGUGAUCGGCCACACUGGAACUGAGACACGGUCCAGACUCCUACGGGAGGCAGCAGUAGGGAAUCUUCCGCAAUGGGCGAAAGCCUGACGGAGCAACGCCGCGUGAGUGAUGAAGGUCUUCGGAUCGUAAAACUCUGUUAUUAGGGAAGAACAAAUGUGUAAGUAACUAUGCACGUCUUGACGGUACCUAAUCAGAAAGCCACGGCUAACUACGCG
rnacentral:rRNA from 1 species